rnacentral:rRNA from 1 species
ACUGGGACUGAGACACGGCCCAGACUCCUACGGGAGGCAGCAGUGGGGAAUAUUGGACAAUGGGGGGAACCCUGAUCCAGCCAUGCCGCGUGUGUGAAGAAGGCCUUUUGGUUGUAAAGCACUUUAAGCGAGGAGGAGGCUACUAGUAUUAAUACUACUGGAUAGUGGACGUUACUCGCAGAAUAAGCACCGGCUAACUCUGUGCCAGCAGCCGCGGUAAUACAGAGGGUGCGAGCGUUAAUCGGAUUUACUGGGCGUAAAGC